GGGCGGAUGGCGGAACUGGCAGACGCGCUGGCCUUAGGAGCCAGUGGAGAAAUCCGUGGAGGUUCAACUCCUCUUCCGCCCACCA
rnacentral:tRNA from 1 species